GAUGAACGCUGGCGGCAUGCCUAAUACAUGCAAGUCGAACGAGAGGAAGGAAAGCUUGCUUCUCUGAAUCUAGUGGCGAACGGGUGAGUAACACGUAGGUAACCUGCCCAUGUGCCCGGGAUAACUUCUGGAAACGGAUGCUAAAACCGGAUAGGUAGCAGACAAGCAUUUGACUGCUAUUAAAGUGGCUAAGGCCAUGAACAUGGAUGGACCUGCGGUGCAUUAGCUAGUUGGUGAGGUAACGGCCCACCAAGGCGACGAUGCAUAGCCGGCCUGGGAGGGCGGACGGCCACAUUGGGACUGAGACACGGCCCAAACUCCUACGGGAGGCAGCAGUAGGGAAUUUUCGUCAAUGGGGGGAACCCUGAACGAGCAAUGCCGCGUGAGUGAGGAAGGUCUUCGGAUCGUAAAGCUCUGUUGUAAGAGAAAAACGACACUCAUAGGGAAUGAUGAGUGAGUGAUGGUAUCUUACCAGAAAGUCACGGCUAACUACGUGCCAGCCGCCGCCGUAA
rnacentral:rRNA from 1 species